rnacentral:rRNA from 1 species
UGCAUUUUAUUUAAAUCUUUAAUUUUUUGACCUAUUCUUUAUUUUUUUUCCUAUAAAAGUUUUAUUCUUGCUUGAGUGUUUGCUUGUUGAAUGAUUUACAUGAAAAUUUGUGUGAGAAAUAUCUGUAUCUUAAAGGUAAUUUAUUAAUCUCAGUAUUUAGUAUUGACAAUCAAAGAAAUUUGGAAUUAGUAAUUUAAUAUAAAAUCGGCCAAAAUUGUGCCAGCUGCCGCGGUUAGACUUAGGAUUUGAGUAAAUAGUAUUGGUAUGGAAGUUAACUAUUUGAAUAUGAAAACAUAUAAUUUCUUUUUGAAGGUGGAAUUUUAGAAAGAAUAUAACGGUUUUUGUAAAGUGAAGCUUUGAAAUUUGAAUCAUAAACUAGGAUUUGAUACCCUAUUA